rnacentral:lncRNA from 1 species
AUAAAGAGAGGUCUGCUCUGAUGGUCUUUACUGACCAUUAUUAUGUUGGAGUUAGCCUGAACAAACAAAGAUGAAUACCACAUGGAAUCAGCUAAAUUGUUGUUGUUACCAUAAUGGAGAAAUUCAAAAGGAAGCUAUGAAGAGAGCCGUGGAGGUGGCUGGAGAUGCAGACUGAAGUUGUGCUGCCAGACUCCUGAGGAGUCCCUACAUGGCUCAGGCCCCUUCGAGAUCUCACUCAGGCUACAUGCCUGAGUGCAAACAGCACUAUACAUAGCAGGCUGUAACAGCAUCGCCAAUUCUUUACUUACUCUACGACUCAGAACAAUGUCUGUAUACCCCAUGAUUUACUGUGACUCCCAGCAGAGGAUGUGAUCAUGUGUGGGACUAGUACACAUCUCUACCUGUUGGCACUAUGUCUAGGGAAAUAAUCUGACUUGAUUGAUGAAAGGUUAAGCUACAUAAAGAGCAGGGACCUCAGAUACUUUUGUAGGGGACCAAAUUCUAAACUUGCUAAUGGUUUAUCUUCCCAUAAUAACUGUUCAAAGUGAAACUUGUUUUUCAUGAAAGGGUAUAGUUAACAUACCA